rnacentral:rRNA from 1 species
UACGGAGGGAGCUAGCGUUGUUCGGAAUUACUGGGCGUAAAGCGCGCGUAGGCGGCUUUGUAAGUCAGGGGUGAAAUCCUGGAGCUCAACUCCAGAACUGCCUUUGAUACUGAGAGGCUUGAGUCCGGGAGAGGUGAGUGGAACUGCGAGUGUAGAGGUGAAAUUCGUAGAUAUUCGCAAGAACACCAGUGGCGAAGGCGGCUCACUGGCCCGGUACUGACGCUGAGGUGCGAAAGCGUGGGGAGCAAACAGG